rnacentral:rRNA from 1 species
CUGGCGGCAGGCCUAACACAUGCAAGUCGAGCGGAAACGAUCCUAGCUUGCUAGGAGGCGUCGAGCGGCGGACGGGUGAGUAAUGCAUAGGAAUCUGCCCGGUAGUGGGGGAUAACUUGAGGAAACUCAAGCUAAUACCGCAUACGCCUACGGGGGAAAGCAGGGGCUCUUCGGACCUUGCGCUAUCGGAUGAGCUUAUGUCGGAUUAGCUGGUUGGUGAGGUAACGGCUCACCAAGGCGACGAUCCGUAGCUGGUCUGAGAGGAUGAUCAGCCACAGCGGGACUGAGACACGGCCCGAACUCCUACGGGAGGCAGCAGUGGGGAAUAGUGGACAAUGGGGGCAACCCUGAUCCAGCCAUGCCGCGUGUGUGAAGAAGGCCCUCGGGUUGUAAAGCACUUUCAGCGAGGAAGAAUGCUUGUCGGUUAAUACCCGGCAAGGGAGACAUCACUCGCAGAAGAAGCACCGGCUAACUCCGUGCCAGCAGCCGCGGUAA